AUGCAGGGAGAAGGCGCACCACCGAGAAGGUUUUGGCAACGUACCACUGGUCCACUAUGCGGGAGGACGUGAAGAAAUGGGUUGAUGAGUGUCCCCGCUGCCAGCAACACGAGGUCAUUAAAACGGUUGCACCCGUACUGCAUCCCAUUCAUGUUCCCGAGGCAUGGACUGUCCUUGGUGUGGAUCUCAUUGGCCCACUUCCCUCCACUGCUAAGGGCAAAAGAUACAUUCUAACAGCGAUUCUAACUUCACGAAGUGGGUGGUAGCAAAAACGCUCUACCACAAAACAGCUGUUGAGGUCUCAAAAAAGAUUGUAAAUAUUCUUCUCGAUUUCGGUCUUGUCGAGAAGAUCAUUACCGACCAAGGACGGGAAUUUGUCAAUGAGGUCAACCGUGGUGUUUUUGAUGCACUGGGUGUAAAACACUGCAUCACUUCAGCGUACCAUCCCC